UCGGCUGUGCAUGUUGAAAUAAAAAAUUUAAAAAUUGAGUUUUUUCACAAUGAUAAGUCUGAACAUUUUAGCAUAAUUGGAAAUCAUUGUGAUUCAGAUUUAAGAAAGAAUACUAGGAUUCCAAUUAUUUUGGGAUCUAUAAUAAUUGUUAUGCUGACGGUCGCAUUUGUGACUUUUCUGUUGAUAAGAAGAAAACAGAGUUCUACUUAUAACUUGUUUUAACUUUCUAUAUCAAUUUUAUUCUUA